CGCCGUGCCUUGGGAACCCAAGGAAUCAGCUGAGUGAAAUGCACCAUUCUGAUCUAAAUUGCUAUAAUCCUUCUUGGAUUGUCUGUGUUUGUCUUGGGGUUGUCUCCAGCUACCACCAUACACCAGAUGCAAUGUAAGAUGCUGAAAUGUAGAGCAAGGCUUGAAACGCUGGAGCAGCUCUGGCAUUGCACAGAUGCCUCCUGGAGCUGGAAAUCUGGGCUGCUGGGAAGGUGGGCUGUGUCAGGGACCCUGAGGCCAGGCUGCCUCCAGGUGCUUCUUCCCUUCCCUUUUGCCAUUCCAGUGCAAGCAGCCUUUGGGGCAGGGAGCACAAACUGGUCCCUGAUAACUGAGGGGUUGGUGCUUCCCAUCUGUGACGUGUUCAGUGGCCAUAAACAAAUGCAGUUAUCCCCAGGGAUGUGGACAGAGAAAUGGGCUUUGGGCAAAGAGAGGCCAGAGGAGAUGUGUGGAAAUCUGUGUGGCUGUUCAGAGGCUCUUGCAGGGGCAGCUCCAGCACUGAAUGUGUCCCAGCCCUGCAACAGCCCCUGAGGGGGCUGCAUGGAGAGGCCCAUUUUGUAAAGGGCUCUCACACAGUGCUGCUUCUGCAGGCUGGGGAAAACUGACCUGGGGGAGUGGAACCAGACUUCUCAUUGCCCCAGAAGUCACUCCAUCUCCCUCAGUCUACAGGCUGACCUCUAAAGAUGACCAGGAUUUGGAAAUGUGCCUUAUCACAGAUUACUCCCCUGAAAAGCUCGCUCUUAACUCGGCUGAGCAGCACACAUCCGCUGUCGUGGAGGUGGCAACUGCUGAGAACCACGAGGAAUCCAGCUACCUGUCAACCUACUGGGCCAAGAGGGAUGAGAUGCAGUGUGGUGCCAGCCACGAGGGCUUUGGAGAGCUGGAGGGCGAGGAUCCUGAGAGUGGUGCCAGCGCUGUCUGUGUCACGGGGCUGUCCAUGCACUUCAGGACAGAUGAACACUUGAACACACUGUCUUUAUCACAGCUGGGCCUCAAAAUAGUUUUAAUGAAAGGAAUAAUUUUUAAUGUGCUCAUGACGAUGCUUAUGUGGAAGAAAAAAAAAGACUGAAAGUAACCAGGUGGUGCAGUCCUGAAGUACCAAAACCAUCUGCUUUGAGAGACCAUCGUGAGCAAGAGGGAGCACAGG